CAAGAAAGAACUAAGGCCUAUCCGAAUUAACAUUAAGCUGCAGCAUCAAAUUAAAAAGUACAUAGUCAUUUGAGCUUUAAAGGCAGCACUUUUCUAAUUUCAUCUUUUCCCAUACCCUACCGAUACCCAAAAAGAUAAAACAACAAAAGACAAGUAUUUAAUAGGAAAAAGAGGAAGUCAUAUAUGGAAAUAUCUAAGAUAUUACACAGCCCCUUCACCAAUUUCUUCAUCCACUAACACUUCCUUUAGUCAUCAUCUUCCUCCUCCUGUGCAAACAAAAUUAAAAUCAAUACACCAAAACCAAAAAAAACAGCAAAGAAACAAAUGAUCAUUUCAUCACAAAAACAAACCUCGUCACUUCCUUCUUCCUCGUCAACCUCAGACUUUGACUUGUCAGAUUCCUCAUCUUCAGCUUCACCAGCCUAUACAGAAGAACAAAAGAGUUCUUUAGCACCAAAAGCACAUCAUAAAAUAGAGACAUAAAGUAACCAUACACAAGGAUUUCACCUGUCGCCUGUUAUAAGCAUCCAUGUUCUUUUCGUAUUCAGCCUUCCUUUUCUCUGCCUUUGCUAUGUAAGGGGCUUUCUCCUAAAUUCAUAUUACAGAACGAAAUAAUUGAUGAAACAUAAUUGGGGAUUGAUAUAGAUCAGGAAAGCAGAAUGCUAAAUAGGCUAGACGAUCAGGAGAAGCAAAACAAAAUCAGCAUUUGGCCGAAAACGAAGCAAGGCUUACCAAAAACUUAAGAAAGCUU
rnacentral:lncRNA from 1 species